rnacentral:rRNA from 1 species
UGGAGAGUUUGAUCCUGGCUCAGGACGAACGCUGGCGGCGUGCCUAAUACAUGCAAGUCGAGCGGACAGAUGGGAGCUUGCUCCCUGAAGUCAGCGGCGGACGGGUGAGUAACACGUGGGCAACCUGCCUGUAAGACUGGGAUAACUCCGGGAAACCGGGGCUAAUACCGGAUAAUUCUUUCCCUCACAUGAGGGAAAGCUGAAAGAUGGUUUCGGCUAUCACUUACAGAUGGGCCCGCGGCGCAUUAGCUAGUUGGUGAGGUAACGGCUCACCAAGGCAACGAUGCGUAGCCGACCUGAGAGGGUGAUCGGCCACACUGGGACUGAGACACGGCCCAGACUCCUACGGGAGGCAGCAGUAGGGAAUCUUCCGCAAUGGACGAAAGUCUGACGGAGCAACGCCGCGUGAGUGAUGAAGGUUUUCGGAUCGUAAAACUCUGUUGUUAGGGAAGAACAAGUACCGGAGUAACUGCCGGUACCUUGACGGUACCUAACCAGAAAGCCACGGCUAACUACGUGCCAGCAGCCGCGGUA